AUUGAACGCUGGCGGCAUGCCUUACACAUGCAAGUCGAACGGCAGCACGGGUGCUUGCUCCUGGUGGCGAGUGGCGAACGGGUGAGUAAUACAUCGGAACAUGUCCUGUAGUGGGGGAUAGCCCGGCGAAAGCCGGAUUAAUACCGCAUACGAUCUACGGAUGAAAGCGGGGGACCUUCGGGCCUCGCGCUAUAGGGUUGGCCGAUGGCUGAUUAGCUAGUUGGUGGGGUAAAGGCCUACCAAGGCGACGAUCAGUAGCUGGUCUGAGAGGACGACCAGCCACACUGGGACUGAGACACGGCCCAGACUCCUACGGGAGGCAGCAGUGGGGAAUUUUGGACAAUGGGCGAAAGCCUGAUCCAGCAAUGCCGCGUGUGUGAAGAAGGCCUUCGGGUUGUAAAGCACUUUUGUCCGGAAAGAAAUCCUUGGCUCUAAUACAGUCGGGGGAUGACGGUACCGGAAGAAUAAGCACCGGCUAACUACGUG
rnacentral:rRNA from 1 species